GUGGCUCAGAUGAAGGACAGGACUGGGAGCUGAAAAAGCAUGGAGUCAUCAGCCAGGUCACUCCUGACUCCUCUAAGCGGCCUCGGAGGCGCUGGUCUCAUCGUAUGGGCUCCCUGGAGGUGAUGGUUAAAUCCAUGCUAGACCUGAGGCAGCUGGAGACCUUUGCCCACAAGAAAAACUCUAACUGCCCCCCUCAUGACAGAGAGAGACAGAGCACAUCUAGCCUCCAUGAGCCGAUGGUAUGCAUGAGUCUAGAGAGAGACGAAGAGGGAGCUGUCCAUAGAUUUGUGUGUGUAAUUGCACUGCUUAGUCACCUAUGUUAAUUUUUUGCAGCUGGAGGAGAGAGCCAAGAGGCAUCGGCUCUGGCCACAAGCUGAUUGGCUGUCCUCACACCCAUCCAAGGGCAUCAGGGGGACUGAUGGAGCCGUGUUGUACCCCGAGGAGAACCAGGACGAUACAAGUCUGCAGGGCAGGUAAAGCCCUGCUCACUACACCUGGUUUUAUUCAAGCGAUCACAAUGACACUGGAACAGAACAAAAGUGCUUUUCUAUUCUUAGUUUAAUGUUUUCCCUCCGCCCCUGCUCCUCAUUGUUUCCGCCUCUCUCUGUUUUACGUACGUCAGUGAUUACAUGGUGAAGGAGCAGCAUUGCAGGAUGCAAGGGCGAGGGAUCCGCAGUGAGAGCCAGGAAAGCCGCAGCCCGGACAGUGCUUGCUCUCUGGGUUACAACAGCAGGGAGUCCAGCCCAGAUCGUGUCCCUGAUGAUUGUGCAGAUGUGGAGUCCCUGGGUCAGGACAGCUCUGAUGAGGAGAAUGAAGAGAGGGAGGAAGAGGAGCAAAUGACAAGUAUGGAUGAAGCUCUGAGGACAGUGACUGGCAUUGCUGACCGCGGCCAAGAAGAUUUCCUCAAGCAGAACUUUGAGAUGCUGGCAGAGAGCUGCAGCACGGGUAGGAGAAGCCAAACUCUAUAGAAUAGUUUUGGGAAAAUGCUUAUUUUCUGUCUUGCUGAGAGGAGAUUGAUAACAUCCUUAUGAGAUGGAUGAUGGUUAGCUUAGCUUAGCAUAAAGAUUAUAAGCAGGGGGAAACAAAAGCUGGCUCUGUCUGAAAAGGUAGAAUCUUCCUCCUACCAAGUCUUCCUGGAUCUCGACCUGGCAAACUCACGAUGGCGACGCCAGAUCGCCAUAUAAUAACCCCUGAAAAAAAACACUUGUUGUCUUAAUACUUCAGUUCUUUGUAUAAAUUAAACAAACAAGAUGUGAUGUGUUAAGCUUUAGAGGUUGAUUUUUUCCCUUUGGACAGAGCUAAUCUAACAGUUUCCCCCUGUUUCCAGUUGGUUAACUCCUGGCUGUAGCUUCAUUUAACAGAUAUAAGGCUGCAAUAUAUCUUCAUCUAACUCUGCUAGAAAAUGAAUUGGUUUAUUUCCCAUAAUCAUGACCUGUUCCUUUAAAUGACCUCACAUGCAAGUAGAUAAGCAAGCAAUAUUGAUUAGGCUUUUGGUUUCUCUUUCUUUUUCUCCGGGUCUCUGUGUAUUUCUUCUCUCUCUGCCACUGUCUCCAUUUUCUUUUUCUUUUUUUCUAACGCUUUAUGUCUGUCCACAGCCGAGCAGAGCAGAGUCCCUAGGCUCAGUAUGUCUUCACGCUUCCUGGCCAGAGGACAUAAUAACAGGUACUGUUGACCACUUCAGACCAGUGUGGAAUCACAGCUAUAAUUACAAACCCAUGUGGACUCACGCACACUGCUCUGCUAAACCAUCUGUGUACCAUCCCGAUCUAGCCAGGCUGUCAGUUUGAAACGGCAUUGUUAACCACGUUUGGGUAAUUUUAUGUGUGUAGGAUAAUUGUUUUUUACCUUUUUUUUAUUCGUUUUUAUUUAUAUUACAAUAAAUGUGCAGUGAGACAUUUUACUGUAAAACACUGUAUGAUGUAAGGAAUAUUUCAAAUUUUGAGAAAGAAGAGAAGAUGGAGACCACCCCACACCCUGCCUGUAUGGUAAAGCUGACUGAGUAACAUGUUAUAUCUACUUUGUUAUAUCUACUGUACAAAAACUGAAGUGUAAAAACAACAAUUCUGCAUUUUUAUGAAGGCUUAUGUACUAUGCCAAAGAGUAUUUCUUGACCAUGACCAGUAACUUCAUAGAGUCUCUGCUGGUUGCCUGGCAACUGUUCCUGGCCAAGAAACAGUCCAGCAUACAACUCUCCAUAAAAGAGCCAAAUUGUUGUACACUACAAUCUUUGUACAGAUUUAAACAAAUAAGAUAGGACGUGUUAAUGAGUGAGAUUCAGGGGUGCUCGUAGGCAGGUUUUGUUACGUUUAGAUGGAACCAGGAUAGCUGUUUCCCUCUGCUCCAGUCUUUGUGCUAAGCUAAGCUAACCGGCUGCUGGCUGAAGCUACAUAUUUAUUAUACAGACAUGACAGUUGUAUCAUUCAAUCUUACAUAUUACCCAUAUUUUAUAAAAUAGCCCUCUCAUGACAGUACAGUAAAUUAAGCUACAGCCAACAGCCUUAGCUUAGCACAAAGACUGGAAACACAGAGAAACAGUUAGCCAGGUUGUGUCUAUAGGUCACAACAUUUUUGAUCUGUAAAGAAAUUCUUUGCCAGGCUAGUUGUUUACUUAAAAAGAACAUGUCCCCAAAUGUCAAACUAUUCCAUUAUCUUACUGUAGAGAAAUACAUUUAGGAUUUUACUCACCGGCUCCACUAACCCUGUAACGCCUUCUCUCUGUGUAGGAGCAUGCCUCCAUUUGCCAAAGUGCAUGGAAAGGAACCAGGUAGCCACUUUGCUAAGCCCCCCGUGUCAAAAGUACGACCCUUGAUUGAAGAUAACACACAAGACAAGACCCCCGUGUCCCCUGGCAGGAGCAAGGGGCCAAAGUAAGACACAAACACAGAUUAUGAGCAGCAUGGAGUUUAUUAGGCAAGUGCUGCUUUGGCAGACUUGGAUUAAUGAAUAAAUGCAUAUAUCAAAAAAAGCACAAAAGAUACACUAUUUGCAUAAACAAAUGAUUAUGAGACAUUAAUAAGUCCACAUGGCAAGAAUGCAAUAUAAAACAUACUUGACAAAGAGGACUCCUGAGGUCAAACUAGGCUACAAUGUUUAGAGAUUUGUAUGCCUGUUUACAUUACAAUCUGUAGUUUCUGCUUGUUACUUACAGAUUAAUAAUCCAUAAGGGUAAACAAAAGAAGAGAGAAACUAUAACUAAUUAUGCACAUGCAAAUCAUUUAGACUAAUAUAUACCCAAAUGUAGCCAAAA
rnacentral:lncRNA from 15 species